rnacentral:ncRNA from 1 species
AAGAAUGGUUGGCGUAACCUGAAAAGGUGGGACGCAAAGCCAUAGAUCCUCGCCAGUCAGAAACGGCUGGAAGGACAGCUAGGUUGCCAGG